AUUGAACGCUGGCGGCAGGCUUAACACAUGCAAGUCGAGCGAGCGGCGGACGGGUGAGUAAUGUCUGGAAACCUGCCUGAUGGAGGGGGCUAACUACUGGAAACGGUAGCUACUACCGCAUAACAUCAGAUGUGCCCAUAUGGGAUUAGCUAGUCGGUGGGGAAAUGGCUCACCUAGGCGACGAUCCCUAGCCGGUCUGAGAGGCUGACCGGCCACACUGGAACGGAGACACGGCCCAGACUCCUACGGGAGGCAGCAGUAGGGAAUCUUGGACAAUGGACGAAAGCCUGACGGAGCCACGCCGCGUGUGUGAAGAAGGUCUUCGGGUUGUAAAGCACUUUCGGUGAGGAGGCGUUACUUACAGAGGAAGCACCGGCUAACUCCGUGCCAGCAGCCGCGGUAAUUC
rnacentral:rRNA from 1 species